rnacentral:rRNA from 1 species
UACGUAGGGUGCAAGCGUUAAUCGGAAUUACUGGGCGUAAAGCGUGCGCAGGCGGUUUUGUAAGUCUGACGUGAAAUCCCCGGGCUCAACCUGGGAAUUGCGUUGGAGACUGUAAGGCUGGAGUCUGGCAGAGGGGGGUAGAAUUCCACGUGUAGCAGUGAAAUGCGUAGAGAUGUGGAGGAACACCGAUGGCGAAGGCAGCCCCCUGGGUCAAGACUGACGCUCAUGCACGAAAGCGUGGGGAGCAAACAGG